rnacentral:tRNA from 1 species
GCCGAAGUGGUGGAAUUGGUAGACACGAAGGUCUCAAAAACCUUUGCCUUCGGGCGUGCCGGUUCGAUUCCGGCCUUCGGUA